CUUCCGUCUUGGCGAUCAGGCCGGCGUCGUCGAGUUUCUCGAACUCGGGCUCCAGCGCGUUGAUCUUUUCAACGAUGGUACGC
rnacentral:tRNA from 1 species